AUUGAACGCUGGCGGCAGGCCUAACACAUGCAAGUCGAACGAGUGGCGGACGGGUGAGUAAUGUCUGGGAAACUGCCUGAUGGAGGGGGAUAACUACUGGAAAAGGUAGCUAAUACCGCAUACCAUCGGAUGUGCCCAGAUGGGAUUAGCUGGUAGGUGGGUGAAAAGCUCACCUAGGCGACGAUGCCUAGCUGGUUGGAGAGGAUGACCAGCCACACUGGAACUGAGACCGGGUCUAUACUCCUAGGGGAGGAGGCAGUGGGGAAUAUUGCACAUUGGGCGCAAUCCUGAGGCGGCAAUGCCGCGUGUAUGAAGAAGGCCUUCGGGUUGUAAAGUACUUUCAUCGGGGAGGCGUUACCCGCAGAAGAAGCAACGGCUAACUCCGUGCCAGCAGCCGCGGUAAUUC
rnacentral:rRNA from 1 species